CGGGUGAGUAACACGUGGAUAACCUACCUAUAAGACUGGGAUAACUUCGGGAAACCGGAGCUAAUACCGGAUAAUAUUUUGAACCGCAUGGUUCAAAAGUGAAAGACGGUCUUGCUGUCACUUAUAGAUGGAUCCGCGCUGCAUUAGCUAGUUGGUAAAGUAACGGCUUACCAAGGCAACGAUGCAUAGCCGACCUGAGAGGGUGAUCGGCCACACUGGAACUGAGACACGGUCCAG
rnacentral:rRNA from 1 species